AUUGAACGCUGGCGGCAGGCCUAACACAUGCAAGUCGAGCGGAUGAGUGGAGCUUGCUCCAUGAUUCAGCGGCGGACGGGUGAGUAAUGCCUAGGAAUCUGCCUGGUAGUGGGGGACAACGUUUCGAAAGGAACGCUAAUACCGCAUACGUCCUACGGGAGAAAGUGGGGGAUCUUCGGACCUCACGCUAUCAGAUGAGCCUAGGUCGAAUUAGCUAGUUGGUGAGGUAAAGGCUCACCAAGGCGACGAUCCGUAACUGGUCUGAGAGGAUGAUCAGUCACACGGGAACUGAGACACGGUCCGGACUCCUACGGGAGGCAGCAGUGGGGAAUAUUGGACAAUGGGCGAAAGCCUGAUCCAGCCAUGCCGCGUGUGUGAAGAAGGUCUUCGGAUUGUAAAGCACUUUAAGUUGGGAGGAAGGGCAGUAAGUUAAUACCUUGCUGUUUUGACGUUACCAACAGAAUAAGCACCGGCUAACUUCGUGCCAGCCGCCGCAGUAAAAC
rnacentral:rRNA from 1 species